UGGGUGACCUGCCCUCAGCUCUGGGAUAAGCCUGGGAAACUGGGUCUAAUACUGGAUAUUCACUUCUCAUCGCAUGGUGGGUGGUGGAAAGUUUUUUCGGCUGGGGAUGGGCCCGCGGCCUAUCAGCUUGUUGGUGGGGUGAUGGCCUACCAAGGCGACGACGGGUAGCCGGCCUGAGAGGGCGUCCGGCCACACUGGGACUGAGACACGGCCCAGACUCCUACGGGA
rnacentral:rRNA from 1 species